GACGAACGCUGGCGGCGUGCCUAAUACAUGCAAGUCGAACGCAGUGGGGACUGGUGCGUAACACGUGGGUAACCUCCCAUCAGAGGGGAUAACACUUGGCAACAGGUGCUAAACCGAUACUGAUGGAUGGACCCGCUGUGCAUUAGCUAGUUGGUGAGGUAACGGCUCACCAAGUCCACGAUGCAUAGGCGGCCUGAGAGGGUGAGUGGCCACACUGGGACUGAGACACGACCCAGACUCCUACGGUAGGCAGCAGUAGGGAAUCUUCGGCAAUGGACGAAAGGCUGACCGAGAAACGCCGCGUGAGGGAAGAAGGUUUUCGGAUCGUAAAACUCUGUGGUUAGAGAAGCGGUAUCUAACGAGAAAGCAACGGCUAACUACGUGCCAGCCGCCGCGGUAAUAC
rnacentral:rRNA from 1 species